GUACACAAAAAUGCACAUAUUGUGAGCUCGAUGAGUAGGGCGGGACACGUGGUAUCCUGUCUGAAUAUGGGGGGACCAUCCUCCAAGGCUAAAUACUCCUGACUGACCGAUAGUGAACCAGUACCGUGAGGGAAAGGCGAAAAGAACCCCGGCGAGGGGAGUGAAAAAGAACCUGAAACCGUGUACGUACAAGCAGUGGGAGCCUCUUUAUGGGGUGACUGCGUACCUUUUGUAUAAUGGGUCAGCGACUUAUAUUCUGUAGCAAGGUUAACCGAAUAGGGGAGCCGAAGGGAAACCGAGUCUUAACUGGGCGUUAAGUUGCAGGGUAUAGACCCGAAACCCGGUGAUCUAGCCAUGGGCAGGUUGAAGGUUGGGUAACACUAACUGGAGGACCGAACCGACUAAUGUUGAAAAAUUAGCGGAUGACUUGUGGCUGGGGGUGAAAGGCCAAUCAAACCGGGAGAUAGCUGGUUCUCCCCGAAAGCUAUUUAGGUAGCGCCUCGUGAAUUCAUCUCCGGGGGUAGAGCACUGUUUCGGCAAGGGGGUCAUCCCGACUUACCAACCCGAUGCAAACUGCGAAUACCGGAGAAUGUUAUCACGGGAGACACACGGCGGGUGCUAACGUCCGUCGUGAAGAGGGAAACAACCCAGACCGCCAGCUAAGGUCCCAAAGUCAUGGUUAAGUGGGAAACGAUGUGGGAAGGCCCAGACAGCCAGGAUGUUGGCUUAGAAGCAGCCAUCAUUUAAAGAAAGCGUAAUAGCUCACUGGUCGAGUCGGCCUGCGCGGAAGAUGUAACGGGGCUAAACCAUGCACCGAAGCUGC
rnacentral:rRNA from 1 species